AGCAGCCGCGGUAAUUCCAGCUCCAAUAGCGUAUAUUAAAGUUGUUGCAGUUAAAAAGCUCGUAGUUGAAUUUCGGGGUUAGUAGGUUGGUCAUGCCUCUGGUAUGUACUGGUCUCACUGAUUCCUCCUUCCUGAUGAACCUUAAUGCCAUUUAUUUGGUGUUUUGGGGAAUUUGGACUGUUACUUUGAAAAAUUAGAGUGUUUAAAGCAAGCUAACGCUUGAAUACAUUAGCAUGGAAUAAUGAAAUAGGACGUUCGAUCCUAUUUUGUUGGUUUCUAGGAUUGACGUAAUGAUUAAUAGGGAUAGUUGGGGGCAUUAGUAUUCAAUUGUCAGAGGUGAAAUUCUUGGAUUUAUUGAAGACUAACUACUGCGAAAGCAUUUGCCAAGGAUGUUUUCAUUAAUCAAGAACGAAAGUUAGGGGAUCGAAGACGAUCAGAUACCGUCGUAGUCUUAAUCAUAAACUAUGCCGACUAGGGAUCGGAUGAUGUUAAUUUUUAAUGACUCAUUCGGCGCCUUAAC
rnacentral:rRNA from 1 species